UAGACUAUACUUUCAGGGAUCAUUUCUAUAGUUUCUACAGUUCAUUACCAGAGAUGUUUCCCUGAUUAUACAGAGCCCCUAAAACCAAGAGAAUGAGCAGAGCAUACCCUCCUGAGCACGAAGCUGGUUUUAGGUGUUGCUUUUGUAACUGCCUUUUACCACUGAUGAUCGUUCUCCUCUUCCUUUGGAAGAGGGAGAGGGAAAGGAUGUAGUCUAAGUGG
rnacentral:snoRNA from 1 species